UUUUGAGAAGCGUUAGUCAGGCUCAUCCCGCUCGUCAUUUCCGGGUUAGCGCUCCACUAAUCAGAUUGGCCAUUGAGUCCGACUGCCCGCCUUCCGAUUCAACAUGUCAAAUCGGCCAAAAUGGAGGCCAACGGCUCCUCCGGGCCGACGAUGGUACGGAGCACACCGAACACACUCGAGUCACUGACCUUGCCAGACUGUCUGACGGCCGAUAAUCGGGUUGGUCUUAGGUCAACAAAGG